UACGUAGGGGGCAAGCGUUGUCCGGAAUUAUUGGGCGUAAAGCGCGUGUAGGCGGCUCGGUAAGUCUGCUGUGAAAGUCCAGGGCUCAACCCUGGAAUGCCGGUGGAUACUGUCGAGCUCGAGUCCGGAAGAGGCGAGUGGAAUUCCUGGUGUAGCGGUGGAAUGCGCAGAUAUCAGGAGGAACACCGGUGGCGAAGGCGGCGUCCUGGACCAACACGUGACACUGAUGAGCGAAAGCCAGGGGAGCAAACGGG
rnacentral:rRNA from 1 species